rnacentral:lncRNA from 1 species
UGGCUACUGUAUUGGACAGUGAGAUGUAGAUCAUUUCCAUUGCCACAGAAAGUUCUACUGGACAGUGCUGGUAGGGUAUUAAAGGUCUUUGUAGGGACUUCAGCUUUUACUCUGAGUAAAUAGAAAGCCAUUGGAGGGUUUUAAGCAGAGGAGGAACAUGCUCUGACUUAUGAUUUCGAAAGAUCACUGUUGAGAAUAGACUGUAAGGGGGCAAUGGUGAAAGUUGAUAGACCAUUAAUAGUCUAGAUGAGAGAUGACCAUGUCUUCGAUGAGGGGGUAGGAGUGAUGAUGAUGAUAAAUUAUUGGAUUUUGGAUAUAUUUUGAAGGCAGAACCAAUAGGCUUUUCUGAUGAAAAUGAUGUGAUAUGAGAAAAAAAUGACAAAAAGGUUGUGGGUGAUGAUGAGAGAAGAGAAUACAAGGCCAAAGAGAAGGGAUUUCCCUUGUUGUGGAGGAGUCUCACUCACCUUGAAGCAGGAGGGAAAGCAGGGAUCUGGGUGGAAAAAGAUCUAGAGAAUCCUCAUCUAAGCAGAAGAUGAAGGAGUAAAGAGAGAAAGAUGGGUGUAUUGGAAGCUUGCGGGUGAUGGAGAAAGUUUCAAAUAAUUCUUGGAAAAUAAGUUGAAAAAAGAAACGUAACACAGUUGUUAGAGCAGGGCAUGAUUGCUUGUGCCUAUAGUCCCAGCUACUUGGGAUCCUGAGGCAGGAGGAUCUCUUGAGCCCAGGAGAUGGAGGCUGCGUUGAGCUGUGUUUAUGCCACUGCACUCCAGCCUAAGCGACAGAGCAAGACUCCAUUUCUUAAAAAUAAAACAAAAAUGUAGUUGUUAGUAUUGAGGGCCCAUAAGAAGUUGGUGAUGAUGAACCUAUCUACGCUUUUGAUCACCUCCAGCAGAGUUUGACUGUUGCGUGCAAGCAAAGAGAAAGGAGAUGGCGGGGUUCAAUGAGGGCUGUCGUUUUCCUAGAUAGGUUUGUAGAAAAAACAGAGAGGAAGGGAGUUUAAGGGAUUGGCAAAAAGGAUAUAGUAAUAACAGACCAUGGAAUAAAAAUUGAGUAAGAAGGAAAGUGAAAACAGCUGAAGGCUAAUGAAUUGGGAGAAAGCAGAUGGAUCAAUAGACUGGAGGCCCCAAUAUUUCUAAGAGCAGUUGGAGUUGUUGUCAUGCAAGUUGGAAGGAAAGAUGCUUAUCCAAAAGCUGAAUGCCUGAAUCAGUAAUCUUGCGGCAGAGCUAUUGUAGGUGAUGACAAGGUCAGUCCUUUGAAGUCUAUGCAUAUAUAUCUUCAUUAUAGGCUGACUUGCCAAGUCUUAGAAUUUUUACAAUAUAACCUCACUGUGGAUCUCAUCUAAGCAGGUUUGGUAACCAAAAGCUCAAGAGCGUGAGAUUGAGACCCCAGAGAGCUCAUAGCCUGUCACAAACCAGCUGUGUAACCACGGACCUUGAGGAAAUGAACCUUAUGGUCCCUUCCGUCUCUAAUCUGUGACUCCAUAGCCCCAUUAUAAUAUAGCCUUUUCCCAAACACUGACCUUCAACAUAGACCCUGGGGGAUUUUUCUAUUAAAAAUUUGCAACUCUGCACAUUUUUAUCUGCUGAUGCCUCUUGGAAUAUUAAAUGCUUAGAAAGCUGUCGUCGGGAUCACAUUCUGGAAUCUUGACCAUGUAGUCAUCUGAGUGGGUGUGACAGGAAGUAUACACCAGCAGCAUUUGUGUCUGAGUGUCCUUCAGACACUGGGAUGGCUGCACCUUUACCCGUCCUCUCCAACUCUCUCCACCUAGAAAGUAUUCUUUUCUCUUAAUUUUGUUAGAGUUAUAUAGGAAUGCUCCUUCAGCAGAAAUGACAGAGGCUGUUGCUCUCAGAAUCAAAUGCAAUAAUGUGACCUGUAAAUUCCUGUGAAUAUUUGGAUAUUUUAGCGAUAUUUGUUUAUUCAGAAGAGAUUCUGGAUGCAGAACUCUCCUCCUCUCUGUUCUCUAACCCUGCUUUCCACCAUCAUUCUUCUCUCUCUAGGGCACAGAGAGAAUUAAGAACAACCUAAGGGUCAUUACAAUGAUCUAACUGCCUUACCUGCUUUUGAACUGGUUGAGCCUCUUGUGGGACCGAAAACAAAAGAAGGGUGUUGAAAUGCAAAUAGAUAACUCUGGGUCCCAGUCCCUGACUGCAAAAGGAAGCCAAAACUGACAACAACGUCUCCUUCUCUACGGAGGUUUGUAGAAAGGCUGUACAAAAAUCUCACAAGAUGUAUUUCUUCUCGUGGACUGGAGUCCCAAGGUGCUUAAGAGCUCUUCAAUUUGUUAAUGGAAAGAAACACCAUUUACACCGGAUGGCUACAAAGCAACCUUAUUCUGAUCUUUUCUCAGAAUAGCAGUCUGUAGGCUGUCACCUAAAGUGUCCUGUUUUCAGUGCUGCACCUGCUCUGAGCUUCAUCUUUUUACGAAGACGUCAUGGUGUGCUAUCUGUACUGGGAAACUUUCCCCAGCAUCAGCCAUCUCCUGAAGAUAACAUUGUCUGCUAGAGAUUGUCAUGUAUGUGGAUUGAAUCUCUUUAUCUUCAUGGUCCUCUUUCUGUGCCCCCAGCCCGGUUGACAAUGUGUGCCUUCACUCACCCAAUUAGAAACCUUGGAGGUAUCCUGUACUCUUCUGUCACUUACCCUCAGCCUAAAGCCAAUCAGUCACCAAAGUAUUGUCUGUCAUUAUCAUCAUCAUCAUCAUCAUCACUGUCACCACUGAUGGAGUGAGAACCUUGUGCAGUUGAGCAUGAACCCCAAUUUCAUUUGCAAAAUGACCCAGACAGCAGAUUUCAUCUCAUAUGAAAUAAGCAAGGUGAGGUUUUGAUGACGUUACAGACAUGGCUAAGAAGAGGUUGAGAACCAGCAUUCAGCCCACCUGACUCCAAAGCUCAUGCCCCGAACCUCAGAAACUUCUCCAGUGAGUUCCUUUUUUUUAAUGGCAGGAUCACACCAUUAGUUUGGACUGGAUCCAACCUGGAUUGUUGCAACAGCCUUUGAUCUGAUCUGUCAAGCCCUGUGCCUUCUGUGCAACCCAUUCUCUACCCUGGCACGAGCAUUACUAAAAUACCAAUCUGGUCCUAUGACUCCUCUGCAUAAAAACCACGGCUGGGGCUGGUCAAGUGCAACAGUGUUUACAACUAAUUGAUCACAACCAGUUACAGAUAUCUUUGUUCCUUCUUUAGCCAAAAACAAACAGAAAAACAAACAAAACCCAAAUAACAAAAACAAACACAAAAAACCCCCCAUUGUUUGUUCCCUUUUGCAUCUUUUGAAUUCUAAACUCCUCACAUAGCAUAAAAUCCCCUUCUGGGUCUUUUCCCAGCCUACAACCCACUUCCCCACCUGCCCCAUUCCCCCUGUUGCUCCUACCUCUGGCCUUACUUCAGCCCCAGGGUCCCCUGCUGGACAUGGCAGGCCCAGCACAUGCUGCCCUGGGCCCUUUCACUUUGCUUUGUGACAUAUUUUUCAUCCUUCAACCUUCAGCUCAUAAGCCAUAUUCUCUGUGAAGGCAUCCAGAGGGCCCGAGACAGCCCCUCCCACCUGUGUUCCUCAGAGCAUUCUGUGCCCAUAAUUAGGGUGAACACAUUUCUGAAUCAGCAGUGGAAAUGUUUCAGUUCAGACAGUUACGCAUGUGCCCCUGAAGGCAAUGGGACAGUUAAUAGAGCAAAGUCCAGAAGAAACUCUUGGAGAUGAUUCCUCUUUAUCUGUCUGCUACCCUGUAGAGGGGUGGGGAAGGUACUUCCAGGGUAGAGAGCUGUGGGUGGCCCUUGUAUCUCUUGGAGAUGAUUCCUCUUUGUCUGUCUGCUACCCUGUAGAGGGGUGGGGAAGGUACUUCCAGGGUAGAGAGCUGUGGGUGGUCCUUGUAUUUGCCCACACCUGACACGAUGCCUAACUGUUGUUUGCUGAAUGUAUGAAGACUAUGCCAGGCCUGAGAUUCUUUUGAACAUAACCAAAUGUCAUGUGUAAAUUUCUCCAAAUAACCAACCAACAAACCCAGCUCUUUAUAACAAUGGACAAUCCAGCAUGAGUAUUAGGACUCUGUUUAAGUCUCAGGUUUAUCACUAGAACAAUUCUCAUAGACACACUUCUUCAUCUGUAAAAUGGGGAUAAUAGUAGCUACUUACGGGAGUUGCAGUGAAGACUCUGUGAAUGAAUUGAAGGAAAUUAGCAGGCACAGAGUCUGGCAAAGAAGUCUUUGUUUCAGGCACAAAGAUAUGUGUAGCUCAUCACUAUAAACAGGAACUAGAAGGCAAGGUCAUGUUCUAGAAUAACUUUUAAAAGUUAGGAUAUUGUUGGGAAUUUUAAAAGGUAAGACAAUUAAAAAUAUGACUAAUAUUUGUCAGCUUUUUUUUUUUUUUUUUUUGAUACAGAGUCUUGCUCUUUUACCCAGGCUGGAGUGAAGUGGCGCCAUCUCAGCUCAUUACAGCCUCUGCCUCCCGGGUUUAAGCGAUUCUCCCUCCUCAGCCUUCUUGAGUAGCUGGGAUUACAGGCACCCGCCAUCAUGCCCGGCUAAUUUUUGUAUUUUUAGUAGAGACUGGGGUUCACCGUGUUGUUCAGGCUGGUCUUGAACUCCUGACCUCAAGUGAUCCACCCACCUCGACCUCCCAAAGUGCUGGGAUUACAGGCUUGAGCCACUGCGCCUGGCCUCAUUUGUUAGCUUUAACAUAUGAAGAGACAUCCUCCUAAAUGUUAAAGUACUCUUUGACAUUUUACCUAUGCAUUUUACAGUUGGGCUGGGAGAGAUGUGACUCCCGGUUUGUUUUGCCUCACCUUUGCAUUUCAUCAGCUGUGUCUGAUCCCAGCCUAGCCUGUGUGUCGGAAUCACUUGGAUGAGUGUUUUACAGACUCCUGGGCUCUACCCCAAACCCACUGAAUCAGAAUGGGGACAGGAAGGGAACUGUAAAUCUACAUUUAUGAAAACCUCCCCUUGUGGUUUUGAUAGUCUGCAAGGUUUGGGAAUCACUAGUUCCCAAACACACCAGUAGAAAAGCAUAUAGUAAUUAACAUUCUCAAUUUCUCAGCUUUACAGUGUUUGUAAUUAAAAAUUUUUAUUUGCUUUUUUGUAAGCAAUAUUAGCUUUCUCAAUGUCUGUUUCACCUUCACUGCAGUCUGUUUAUCCAGCCUGGGAAAAAAACUGGCUCCACUUAAACAAUGAGACAAAAAAGGUGCAAACCUGACAGCUUCCCUACCUUUUUUGCAUUAGCGUGUAGGUAUUUCCUCCAUGUCCUACCAGGGCCAUUUAAAUGCUAAUAUAGUUAAGUACAACAAUCUUUUUAGCAAUCAGAUGGAAUUGUUUUUUACCACAAUCUUAUUUCUCAUUUCUCCAGUCCGUACUUUUCCUUUUUUGGGGCAGGGUGGGGGUAGGGCUAGAGGGGCAUACAUUUAAAUUCUUUGACCUUUCAAACCUUAACAAAAAUUCUCUCCUAAUAUCUUCUCAGCAGUUCUUGCAAUGUGUGUAUCCUCUAAACCUGAGCUCUGUAAUUUGAAUGUGCUGAGUCACCUUGUCUUUGCAGGGUCAAACAUUUUGCAUCCAGGAAAAGUACUGCAGAAAAUCACACCAUUAGCAGCUAGCUGGUAUGUUAUUUGAAUAUUUGAAUACAAAUAGGAAGACUGGAAAGGAGAAAGUUACUGUGUACAUAGAUACAUAGUAACUUACAUAUACUUAAAACAACCUUUUUUUUUUUUCUAAUAGUCUGCUAAGUCCUCUUUCUGAUUGAUGACUUUUUUGUGUGUGAAAUUCUCUAAAUAUUUAUUUGUGUUCCUAGAAAGUGAAAAUGAAUAUAAAUGGUAAAGCAGUUGCCUUGCAAUGUUUAAUAAAAGGAGAAAAUAGUCUUUGCUAUUAUACUGAAGCUUUGCAUAAUUAAGAUUCUUGAAUUAAUUUUAAAGAAUUAAUAACAAAAAAAUACAAUCAUGAACCAGAUAUUGAGAGUUAAUGUCUAAUUUAAGUUCAACUUUUAGGGAGUCCGUUUUCCUAUUUUGAUCAUGUAGUUGAAUAGACAGUGAGGAGAUGUUACUACAACUGUAUUAAUAGAGGAAGUGGCAGGAAGCUACAGUUUCCUUAGAAUCAGAAAGAAAGUUUAUAGAACUCACUGGAAAUGAGGGUUAUAGAUAAAGAUUGAAGUAGGAAUAACUUCUAUUUAGAAUUGCUAUUGUAUUUUUGUAACAUAAGAGUGGUUUUCUUUAAAGUAAGUAUUUGGGGCUAAAGAGAAUGCCAACACUCCACUCACAGGGAAGUCGGAAAGCUUACCAGUAUUAACAAACAUCCGAAGUCAUUUCACAAGGUGGAAGUUUACUAUAGAACCAGUAAACAUAAUCUUCCUCCAGGGUGUUUUGAGUCAUGAAUGGGGAGCAACUUGCUCCCUUCGUGGAUGGAGCACUGGGGACAAGCUUCUCUGCAUCAGAGCCUGUGAAAUAUCAAUAGCAACAGCUACUGUACUCUGAGUGCUCACUUCCUCUAUGCCAGAGGCUGGCUCUGGUCUUUAAUUGAAUUCGCUCACUAUACAGCCCCCUAUACAGAAGGAACGCUAAUUUUCAAUACCUUAAAGAGGCCAAAUCAUUCCCACAGCAUUAGUGGCAGAGGGGGUAUUUGAACCCAGGCAGAAUGACUCGAACUCCCUGGUAAUUAGCCAUGGUGGAGAAUGUCUCCCAGCUCACAAAAAUGACUACUCACUGGCAAGUAACACUAAGUACAGAAAGAAUGUCAUCAGUUGGUUGGUGUUCUUGCUUUCUCUCCGUGAACAAUUAAGAGGGCGCAGAGGUGAGAUGGGGUGGGGUGGGAUAAAGGGAAGGCCUGGAAGAAGGGACAGAAGGGCUGCAAAUAAUCACCCGGGAGCCCAGUGAGACUCAGAGAAAGAUUCUAACCUAAAAUACUCUUCUGCUGUCAGCUAUUCUGUAAUUAACAUCCACAGAUGAAAACAUGAAGUGUAUUAAAAAUCCUUUGUGUUUUUUUUCAAUUUUGACUGAUGGACAUAAUAUAAUGACUUGAUAAUUAAAAAAAAAGAAAGAAAGAAAACCCACAAAACCCAACAACCCAAAAUUCUAAACUAACUGCUUUUCAUCAUUCUACUCCCUGAUUAGACAUGGAAUUGGGCUCGUUACUACGGGUAGAACAAUGGCCUGUGUUGGGCAGGACAAGGGCAUGGAAGCUCUCCAGCAAGCAGCACAGUGGGACAGCACAGGCUUCUAGCAGGCAUGGUUUCAGUCUCAAUUGUUUACAAGCCUUGGGAUCUGGAACAAUUGAUUUGAGCCCUACAACAUUAGAAUGGUUCCUUUUCUCAGGGCCUAAUAUGGGGUCAGAGAAGGCACUCAGCAAGGAGGGUUUUUUCAGAGGCCCAGGAAGAACUAGUUCAGAGGCCGAGCCUCCUGGGAGAACACGUAGAUGAGUGGGGUCAGGUGCCUGUGUCUGAGAUCUAGCUCAGGUCAGGGCAGUUUUCAUUGAGAAGGUGACAUUUGAACAAAGAUUUGAAGUUGCUGAGUGAGUUAGCCAUGUGGGAAUCUCAAUAGAAGAGAUUUCCAAGCAGAGGAAACAACUAAGGAGAAACAGGAAAUUGCCUUCUGGCAAGAUGUAGGAACAGCAAGGAAGUAAGUGUGGCUGAAACAGAGUGAGUGAGGGGUAAAGUAGUUGAAAGUGAGGUCGGGGAGUAAGAGAGUCAGACUGGCCAGCAUCAUUUUAAGGACUCUGAGUUUUAACUAUGAGAGGAACAUGGAGCCAUUGCAAAGUUCUGAGCAGAGGAGGACAUGUGACUGAGAGUUUAAAAAGAUGGCUCUAAGCCAGGUGCAAUGGCUCAUGCCUGUAAUCCCAGCACUCUGGGAGGCCGAGGCAGGAGGAUCACUUGAGGCCAGGAGUUUGAGACCAGCCUGGACAACAUAGCCUGACCUCAUCUCCACUAAAAAAG